UGUAGGAGCCGGCUUGCUGGCGAUAGCGGUGUGUCAGUUGUCAUUAAAAUUGAUGACACGCCGCCAUCGCCAGCAAGCCGGCUCCUACA
rnacentral:misc_RNA from 1 species